UGAGGAAAUAUUUAUUAUCGACUGAAAUUAAAUGUUGAUAAUUACCGGAUUCUGAGCUGAAUUUGACUUACAGACUGCGCGCUUGAAUUUUCUAACAAUGCUAUGAGAAAAUAUUUAUUAUCCACUGAAAUAAAAUGUUGAUAAUUAC
rnacentral:sRNA from 1 species